CAUCUGGCACAGGGAUGGUCUUCUCGAGACUGAGGGAGCAGGUGGGCCCAUGCUCUUGAAGAGACCUGCGGGUGAGGGCAGGGUCCAGGCUCGGGCUACUCUCCCUCCUCUCCAUGGAGAGCUUCUGCACCAGCUGUAGUGACCAAGCUUAGGAAAGAAGAGUAACAUCUGGAAUCCUUGCCAAGGCUGAGGGGGCAGGUCUGCAUUAACAGCAGCAAGUGCUAUGGAUGGUCAGCAUUAGUGAGGAGCUUUCGGAAAGUUAUGUUUAUAUGAAUACUGUGAAUUUAAAAAAAGAGAAAAUUUUAACUUCUUUCCCAAUUCAUAUUAAAAAAGGGAAGACUAACCAGAGCCACUAAGUGACGCACAUAGCUGGUCGCCUAGAAAACUUCAGAGGAGAAUUUCAGGUGUCUUCCAGAGUUCCUGACUUCAGUGUUUGCAAAAUGGCAAGGAAGGUAAAGACCUAGGAGGUCUUUCUCUGCAAUUAACCCAUCUUGUACCAGAUGCUUUGCCAGUACAGAGGAAAUCACGGUGAAGAUGUGGGCCCCUCCCCAAAAGUAUACACGUAGCAGGAGGGUUGAAGGUGAGGGAGUGGGGCUGGAAGUGUUAGAGAAACUUUCGCAGGCAGAGCACAGAAGGUUGCGUGGGGUACACUUCCGGAAAGCGGAAGGCUAGAGCGUGAUUCAGUCGGGAAUUCAGUUCUUUGUCCUUUCUGUCAAUGCAUGCCUAUGCCCGCUUCCCCUGGGCUCACGUUUACCAAACUUCAGUUACCUGGGAACCAGUCAAUUGUUGCACAGACUACAAAUUUCCUUUCAACAAAUUUGCAGUUUUUUUUAAUUGAAAUAACUAUUUGUGCCUUGUCCUAAGCAAUAAUAUCUGUGAAAUCACAGAUUUGAUGUGCUUGUUACAUUUUAUCUUAUUCUGAUUGAAUUAUGUUAUAAUUAGUAAGAUGUAUGGUUCUACAGCCUAAGGAAUCUAGCACACCACCUGGCGGAUGCUUACUACACUCAGGCACGCCUCAUUUUCUAUUAUAGUUUGAUGCUGGAGCUGCUAUUGUAUUCAUCUGGGGACCCAAAGCCACAGACACUGUGCCAAACAGUUUCUGUGCACUAUCUCAUCCUAAUUCUAGUCCUCUAAAGUGGGACUUGCUGCUCCGUUUCAUAGAUGAGAAAAUAGAUUCAGAGAGGUUAAAUGACUUGCCCACGGUCACACAGCUAACACGUUGCACAGGGUUUUAACCGUAAUUCUGUGUGACCUGAAAGUUCAUGUUCUGAACAACUGCACAACCAAAUCUCAUUUACUGAACCUUUCUAUCAACUUUCUGAAUCACCUCAGUUUCCUUGCUAUACCUUGCAUUAGCUAAGAUUAGGUUUGAUUGCAGUUAUAGAAAAUUUCAAAAUAACUGUAGUUUUUAAAAGGGCUAGGUGUACCUUUUUUCGUAUAAAGAAAGUCUAGGUUGGGCGUCCAGUAUUGACGUGGUAGUUCCAUGAACGUCAGAUCACAGUACUGUCAGUAGGGCUUUUGCCCUUGUGGUGCAAAAUGGCUGCUUAAACCAGUCGUCACACCCAUGUUCUUGGAUGGCGAAAGGGAGAAAGAGGGCCCUUCCCUUCUCAUCUAGGGAGAAUUCCUAGAAGUAUCACUCAGCACCUCUACUUAUAUUUUACUGGCCAAAGGUUGUUCAUAUCGCUUCCCUGGCUGCAGGGGUGGCUGGGAGUCACUGUCACUUAUUUUAGGUACAAUGUGACAUCCUAUAAAUCAGGAUUCAGUUUCUGAAGUGGAAAAAAAGAAUGGAUGUUAUGUCUAUUAUGAUACUCAAUAGAUUCCAUAACAUCUACUUUUUACAAAAUCUUAAAGUUAAAUUUACAAAAAUUGCGAGAAUGUGUUUAAUUUGAAUUUACUAGAACUUCAUGUCUGUCACUCUACAUUCAAACCUGUCCCCAAAUUAAACAUUCUGGGGGGGAAAAAUCCAUGCAAAGUAUUUUCCAUAUGUGACAGCAACCUCAAAGUCCUGGUGUCCUCAAAGUCCUGGUGUCCUCAGAGUCCUACAGGCCUGAGUUGGCUUAAAUGCAGAGGAGAACAGGGAGCAAUUUGUGUUCACACUGUAAUGCAUUCUGGUCAUUUUAGUCUGUCCAUGAAAGAAAGUGGAUUUAUGCAUUUCAAUAGUUUUCAAAAAUAAGAAUAGGAACAAAUAAGUAUUUCCAGUUAAACCAAGGUUUGUUCGGAAAUUAAAUUACACAUUUCUGAGGCAGUGAACUUUACUCAGGGAUGUCACAUAUUACAUGAGCAGAUGGAGCCCUGUGACGCACUGUGACAAAACAACCCUGAAGACUGAAAUGGAAGUUUGAUUGUGAAUAUUUCCUAUCCAACUUGAGUUUGCCAGAAUCUCUAUCUAGUCCAUUUAUAGCUUUGAGGCAGAUCUAGAAAGGUAAGAUUAACGAUUUUGAAAGCAAAACCAACUAGUUAUUUGAUAAACAGUUGUCAUUGUCACCUGAUAAGAUCUAGAUAACAGAAAAACAAGUAUCCUCUGAAUAUAAUUCAGCUAUGGUUUUGUUGUCACAGUCUAGAACUGGCCUCAACAGAUAAUAGAUGGUUAAUGCUCUGAGGAAAGAUGGUUUUUGAUGCACUGGCACUAAAACCAAAAUGCUAAUCUUUGGCAGAAGUCAGCCAUCUUCUGAAUGGCUUGUAAACAACCUCUCUCUUACUGCUGGUCAGCUUAUGGAUCUAGAGAGAUGACGUCCAUCCAGUUACCCUCGUGUACCCAGGAACCCAGAAACUAACACUGCUUAAAGCCUAGCAUCUCACCAAGCACUGGGAGCCCUGCCUGGCCACAGAAAUGCUGGGAGACACUGCUUUCAAUGGCUUUCUCUGCUUAGAUCAGGGGUGUCCAAACUUUUUUCAACGUUUUUCACCAAGGGCCAUAUGCAGUAAAAUAAACAAACAGCCGGGCCACUCACUUGAGGUGAAGUACGUAUUGCCUCACCUGGUUUAUUUAAGUAAACUAAAUCUAUUUUUGGAAUUUGCUGUGGGCCAAUAAAAAAUGGAUCGCGGGCCGCAGUUGGUCUGCGGGCCGCAGUUUGGACACCCCUGGCUUAGACAGUGGAAACUGCUGUCUGCUGGAGGCCACUGGAACUGGCUUGUUUACUUGUCUGUGAGCUGGACACACCCAGAACUGUCUCCAGAGGUAGAUCCUAACCAGCCCACAGGCCCUGUUACCCCCACACUGUCAGGGUGCGGAGGCCACGCUCUCUC